rnacentral:rRNA from 1 species
CUACGGGUUGCUGCAGUGGGGAAUAUUGGACAAUGGGGGAAACCCUGAUCCAGCAAUGCCGCGUGUGUGAAGAAGGCCUGCGGGUUGUAAAGCACUUUCGGUUGGGAGGACUGCUUCUAGCACUAAUAUUGUUGGAAGUUGACGUUACCUUCAGAAGAAGCACCGGCUAACUCCGUGCCAGCAGCCGCGGUAAUACGGAGGGUGCAGCGUUAAUCGGAAUUACUGGGCGUAAAGCGCGCGUAGGCGGCUAGAUCAGUCGGGUGUGAAAGCCCCGGGCUUAACCGGGGAACUGCAUCCGAUACUGUCUAGCUUGAGUACAGGAGAGGAGAGUGGAAUUCCACAUGUAGCGGUGAAAUGCGUAGAUAUGUGGAGGAACACCAAUGGCGAAGGCAGCUCUCUGGCCUGAUACUGACGCUGAGGUGCGAAAGCGUGGGGAGCAAACAGGAUUAGAUACCCCGGUAGUC